rnacentral:rRNA from 1 species
ACUAACAAGGAUUCCCCUAGUAACUGCGAGUGAAGCGGGAAAAGCUCAAAUUUAAAAUCUGGCGGUCUUUGGCUGUCCGAGUUGUAAUCUAGAGAAGUGUUAUCCGUGCUGGACCGUGUACAAGUCUUCUGGAAUGGAGCGUCAUAGAGGGUGAGAAUCCCGUCUUUGACACGGACUGCCAGUGCUUUGUGAUGCGCUCUCAAAGAGUCGAGUUGUUUGGGAAUGCAGCUCAAAAUGGGUGGUAAAUUCCAUCUAAAGCUAAAUAUUGGCGAGAGACCGAUAGCGAACAAGUACCGUGAGGGAAAGAUGAAAAGAACUUUGGAAAGAGAGUUAAACAGUACGUGAAAUUGCUGAAAGGGAAACGCUUGAAGUCAGUCGCGUUGGCCAGGAAUCAACCUUGCUUUUGCUGGGCGUACUUCCUGGUUGACGGGUCAGCAUCAAUUUUGACCGUUGGAAAAAGCUCAGGGAAAUGUGGCAUCUUCGGAUGUGUUAUAGUCCAUGUUCGCAUACAACGGUUGGGAUUGAGGAACUCAGCACGCCGCAAGGCCGGGUCUUUGACCACGUACGUGCUUAGGAUGCUGGCAUAAUGGCUUUAAUCGACCCGUCUUGAAACACGGACCAAGGAGUCUAACAUGCCUGCGAGUGUUUGGGUGGAAAACCCGAGCGCGUAAUGAAAGUGAAAGUUGAGAUCCCUGUCGCGGGGAGCAUCGACGCCCGGACCUGACCUUUUGUGAUGGCUCCGCGGUAGAGCAUGUAUGUUGGGACCCGAAAGAUGGUGAACUAUGCCUGAAUAGGGUGAAGCCAGAGGAAACUCUGGUGGAGGCUCGUAGCGAUUCUGACGUGCAAAUCGAUCGUCAAAUUUGGGUAUAGGAGCGAAAGACUAAU